UACGUAGGCAGCAAGCGUUGUUCGGAGUUACUGGGCGUAAAGGGUGCGUAGGCGGUUGUUUAAGUUUGGUGUGAAAUCUCCCGGCUCAACCGGGAGGGUGCGCCGAAUACUGAAUGACUAGAGUGCGGGAGAGGAGAGUGGAAUUCCUGGUGUAGCGGUGAAAUGCGUAGAUAUCAGGAAGAACACCCGUGGCUAAGGCGGCUCUCUAGUACGGUACUGACGCUGAAGACGCGAAAGCGUGGGGAGCGAACAGG
rnacentral:rRNA from 1 species